rnacentral:rRNA from 1 species
UACGAAGGGGGCGAGCGUUGUUCGGAUUUACUGGGCGUAAAGGGCGCGCAGGCGGCGCAUUUUGUCAGGCGUGAAAGCCCCGGGCUUAACCUGGGAACUGCGUUUGAUACGGAUGGGCUAGAGUUCGGGAGAGGAGAGUGGAAUUCCCAGUGUAGAGGUGAAAUGCGUAGAUAUCGGGAGGAACACCAGUGGCGAAGGCGACUUCCUGGCCUGUUCCUGACGCUGAGGCGCGAAAGCUAGGGGAGCAAACGGG